rnacentral:rRNA from 1 species
AUUGAACGCUGGCGGCAGGCCUAACACAUGCAAGUCGAACGAGUGGCGGACGGGUGAGUAAUGUCUGGGAAACUGCCUGAUGGAGGGGGAUAACUACUGGAAACGGUAGCUAAUACCGCAUACCAUCAGAUGUGCCCAGAUGGGAUUAGCUUGUUGGUGGGGUAAAGGCUCACCAAGGCGACGAUCCCUAGCUGGUCUGAGCGGAGGACCAGGCACACUGGAACUGAGACACGGUCCAGACUCCUACGGGAGGCAGCAGUGGGGAAGAUUGCACAAAGGGCGCAAGCCUGAUGCAGGCAUGCCGCGGGUAAGAAGAAGGCCCUCGGGUUGGAAAGUAAUUUCAGCGGGGAGGCGUGACCCGGAGAAGAAGCACCGGGUAACUCCGUGCCAGGAGCCGCGGUAAUAA